CACAUAACAAGACAUUGAAGAGUCAUAAGCCAUCCUCGUGCAUCUUCCUCAACUAGACAAGAACACAACAAAAAAACCAUAAAAAUGGAAGACAAGACCUAACCCUAGCACACCUACACAAGACAACCUCCCAAUCGCCGCCGCCGCUCUCUCCCUUCAUCUCUAUCGUCACUCUUCAGAGACCGUAAGUCGCCUCCGCUGCUCAUCUUAUUCACAACGGACCAGCCACCCAAGACCUCUCUUCGCCAUCGCUUAACCAUCAACAGCAACCACCCUCACACCCUUGAACUCUGGCUGCUCACUCCUCCACCAGCAGCCCCAGACCUGCCAGAACCAGCCCAUCGUGGACCACCUGAAUGACCAUAACCACACCCAGCUCCACGUCGUAGCAAACAAAACACAAACGACCACCCUUAAUCACCAACAGCACAAAAAAUGCACACACACACUCAGCAAAAAUAUCGGGACGAGAAUAGAAGAAAAGGAGAGGGAAUGGGACAGAAAUACAAAAAUCAGAACUACAAAAAAAGGAGAUUUCAGUUCUGGUUCUCUUCGAUUUUGGUUUCAAGAAAUGGGUUUCAUUUUAGGUCUGAGGCAUUGUGGAUGUGAGGCUGUCGUUGAGGUUGACGAAAGUCCCUGCUCGAGUUUCCGCUAUUGAAGGUUUCCGAUUCAUAUCUUUGUUGUCGAUUUUUCCAUUGAGGUUUGAUUCCUUAACUCUUCGUUUUUUCUGACUUCUUCUAAACUUGAAGUAUUGUUUGUGGCAAGAUGAUUUUGAUGGUUUGUUUUCUUGAAUAAUAUUGUGGCUCAACAUCAGUUUGUUUUUUUGUAAAUAUUCUAUGUUUAAGUUGUUCAGUUUUAAUCUAACAUGAAUACAAUUUUAAUCAAGACAAAUGAAGGUG
rnacentral:lncRNA from 1 species